CCGCGCGACUACCGUUGGCUGUGAUAGCAGUAGCAUUUUUAAGCCGCAAAGUCUAUUGGGUUGACGAUUCAGCCAACAAUCGACAGACGAGUUCAAAGAACGCCGACGUCACCGCUUCUACCAUUGCCCGUUCAAACGCUAGGCAAAGCCAAUACAGGCGCCAGGUAACACGUGGGCCAAGCUCCACUUGCUACUUAUCCGGCCCGUACCACUGUCGCUACGAUACAACAACCUGAGUGAAUAACUACGUUUGUGGAAGCUUCUUACGUACAAUCGACUGUCUUCGCUCUUACGAAGACACGGUUAUCUCACCACACCCAACAGCGAAGCUAGCUAUUAUCAGCUAUCUAUCAGUAGCUUGAUAGAAAAUCAAGUGGAUCUUGGACUCGUUAUCGGUGAGUCUGGGUCUGGCGGCUAGCGUCGUUCAGGUAAGCUUAUCUCCAACAUACGCAUGUGCACGUUUGCCGUCACUACGACCACCUUGAGUGGAGUACCUACGAUUGCUAAGAGUGCUCAGUUCUAAGCAGAGGAACGACGUACAUACAUGAAUGUAGCGGCAAAGAACAUCGCUAGCAGCUAUCAAACGUCAUGACGAAAAUUUCGAUAACUCUAGCAGCGCCGCAACACCGAUUGAUGGACGGAAUCGUUGGCGCAUUCAUGCACCACAGGUCAAUAUCUACGAAAACGGACUGAAACCAGGAACGUUCUGCAACGGAAACGAGGUGUGGGAAAGCUCGCCGUAUGCUAUUUAACCUAAGUUAAGCAAAUGCAACGAACCGCCUACAGCUAAAAAUUAAAAGCUAAAAAUAAAUAUUGUUAAAAUUCUACAAUGAAUAAACGAGGGCCAAGCAAAAGGUUCACGUCAUAACGAAAAGCACCAAUAUUGCUGUGUAACGUAAAAAAUAAAAAUAUUGCGCCAAUUAGAAUUGCUAAAUGCGCUUCAACAUAGGCUUUAUAUUACAUGAAUGUACGUAUAUUGUUUAUGUAAAAACGUUUUUUUCGUGCGUCCGUCGCUAUGAUAAAUCUUAACUAUGAGUAAUUGAAUGAUUGAAAAUAUUGCUAUUGUUAAGUUCUGCAUUGUGUAGCCAUGAUAUAAGAUAAUAAAAAGAU